rnacentral:snRNA from 1 species
AUGCUCACUUCAACAGCACAUAUACUAAAAUUGAAAUGAUAUGGAGAAAAUUAGCAUGGCCCCUGUACAAAGAUGACAUGCAAAUUCAUGAAGCAUUCCAUAUUUUA